GGCUCUUCGUUCUAUGAAGAUGAGGAGUCGGACCUGCCCAGUGAGCAGUAAGCUUUAACGGCCGCGGUACCCUGACCGUGCAAAGGUAGCAUAAUCAUUUGCCUUUUAAUUGAAGGCUGGUAUGAAUGGUUUGACGAAAACGGAGCUGUCUCUUAUCUACUAUCUAAAAAUUAAUUUUGAUGUGAAGAAGCAUUAAUAAUUCUAAAAGACAAGAAGACCCUGUUGAGCUUUAAUAAGAGAAAAAAAUAAGAAUAUGAAUCAAAAUAAUAUUUUUUUAGUAUUAUUUUAGUUGGGGCGACUGAGGAACAAAAGAGCUUCCUUUGAUUUUUAUAAUAUAUUUAUUUUGAUCCAGAAAAAUUCUGAUUAAAAGAAUUAGUUACCACAGGGAUAACAGCGUAAUCCUUUUUUAGAGUUCUUAUCGAAAAAAGGGCUUCCGACCUCGAUGUUGGAUUAAGAUUUCCAGUUGGUGCAGAAGCUUCUUUUGUCCGACUCC
rnacentral:rRNA from 1 species